CUUUUGCCUCAGGAAGCUGAACUGGUCAGGAUUUGUCACCAUGGCCUGUGCCCUGCUCCUCCUGGUGCUGAUGACGUGCUGCUCAGGGGUCUGGUCACAGCCUGUGGUGACUCAGGAGCCUGUGAUGUCCGUGUCCCCAGGAGGGACUGUCACUCUGUCCUGCAGCCUGAGCACCGGAGCCAUCACCACCAGCAACUAUCCUGCCUGGCUCCAGCAGAAACCUGGCUCUCCCCCUCGGCAGCUUAUAUACAGCACCAGCAGCAGGCCCUCGGGGAUCCCCACCCGGUUCUCUGGGUCCAUAUCUGGUCAGAAGGCCGUCUUGACCAUCACGGGGGUCGAAGCCGAGGAUGAGGCUGACUACUACUGUGCUGUGUAUACUGGCAGCAACCCACUGCACAGUGAUAGAGCCCGAUGGGGAACUGAGACAUAA